rnacentral:rRNA from 1 species
GGAGUUUGGACCGUGUCUCAGUUCCAAUGUGGGGGACCUUCCUCUCAGACCGGCUACCGAUCGUCGCCUUGGUAGGCCGUUACCCCACCAACCAGCUAAUCGGACGCAGGCCCAUCCCCCGGCGAUAGCUUGUAAACAGAGGCCAUCUUUCAAAUCCGUACCAUGCGGCACAGACUUCGUAUCCGGUAUUAGCACCCCUUUCGGAGUGUUGUCCCCGGCCGGAGGGCAGGUUGCCUACGCGUUACUCACCCGUUCGCCACUAGGAUUCUGCCGAAACAAAAUCCCCGUUCGACUUGCAUGUGUUAGGGCACGCCGCCAGCGU